rfam:Morus notabilis contig15524, whole genome shotgun sequence.
UAUGAUGAUGAUACAUGAACUGGGCUCUGAUCAGUUUGUUACUGUGCUUAUUGAUGGAAAUGCAGCCUAAAAAGCUUUAUCUGAAUU